GAUGAACGCUGGCGGCGUGCCUAAUACAUGCAAGUCGAGCGAACAGACGAGGAGUUUGCUCCUCUGCCGUUAGCGGCGGACGGGUGAGUAACACGUGGAUACCCUACCUAUAAGACUGGGAUCCCUUCGGGAAACCGGAGCUCACACCGGAUAUUAUAUUGAACCGCAUGGUUCAUUAGUGAAAGACGGUUUUGCUGUCACUUAUUGAUGGUUCCGCGCCGCAUUAGCUAGUUGGUAAGGUAACGGCUUACCAAGGCAACGAUGCGUAGCCGACCUGAGAGGGUGAUCGGCCACACUGGAACUGAGACACGGUCCAGACUCCUACGGGAGGCAGCAGUAGGGAAUCUUCCGCAAUGGGCGAAAGCCUGACGGAGCAACGCCGCGUGAGUGAUGAAGGUCUUCGGAUCGUAAAACUCUGUUAUUAGGGAAGAACAAAUGUGUAAGUAACUAUGCACGUCUUGACGGUACCUAAUCAGAAAGCCACGGCUAACUACGUG
rnacentral:rRNA from 1 species